rnacentral:rRNA from 1 species
AACGAACGCUGGCGGCAGGCUUAACACAUGCAAGUCGAGCGCCCCGCAAGGGGAGCGGCAGACGGGUGAGUAACGCGUGGGAAUCUACCCUUUUCUACGGAAUAACGCAGGGAAACUUGUGCUAAUACCGUAUAAGCCCUUCGGGGGAAAGAUUUAUCGGGAAAGGAUGAGCCCGCGUUGGAUUAGCUAGUUGGUGGGGUAAAGGCCUACCAAGGCGACGAUCCAUAGCUGGUCUGAGAGGAUGAUCAGCCACAUUGGGACUGAGACACGGCCCAAAGUCCUACGGGAGGCAGCAGUGGGGAAUAUUGGACAAUGGGCGCAAGCCUGAUCCAGCCAUGCCGCGUGAGUGAUGAAGGCCCUAGGGUUGUAAAGCUCUUUCACCGGUGAAGAUAAUGACGGUAACCGGAGAAGAAGCCCCGGCUAACUUCGUGCCAGCCGCCGCGGUAAAAC